rnacentral:sRNA from 1 species
CGAUCCGAGUUCACCUCGGUGGGACCU